rnacentral:lncRNA from 1 species
AAUCACCUACGCUCAGAGGAAUUUCUUGAACUGUCAUGCUCGCUAGGCAAAGCCCACGUGUUUAAAAAAAAUGAAAAACGAAAAAAAAAACGAAAAAAAUAAAAUAAAAUAAAUAAAUAAAAUAUAACAGAAAAUUUUUGGACUUGGGCCUCUCUAUUUGAGCCCACAGGUCCACAAAAAUCAGGUUAUAAAUUCAGAGUUUCAGUGAAACAAAAGGCCA